GCAUCGGUAGUGCAGCGGCAGUGCACAUCCCUGAUAUGGGUGAAACGUCGGUUCGAUUCUCGCUUGAUGUC